rnacentral:misc_RNA from 1 species
AGUCGUAACAAGGUUUCCGUAGGUGAACCUGCGGAAGGAUCAUUCACAAUUUCUUUUUUCCUUGUUCAAUUUGAACAGGGAAAAGAAUUGGAUUCACCCAGUCUAUUGAGACGAUUCCUGGGUUAACAAAGAAUGGACCAUUUAUUAAAACAUUGAAUUGUCAAAAAAAAUACCAAUUGAUUUUAUUGAAAAAAGAGAUUGAACCUUUCAUUAGGUGCUUUGUCUUUUUUAAACAACUUUAAGCAAUGGAUCUCUUGGCUCUCGCAUCGAUGAAGAGCGUAGCAAAUUGCGAUAAUUAGUGCGAUCUGCAUUCUGCGAAUCAUCGAGUUCUUGAACGCACCUUGCACCCUUUGGCUUGUCCUUGGGGUAUGCUUGUUUCAGUACAACUACAAACCCACAAAUGUCAUUUCUUGAUUGAAUUGACCAUUGUGAUUGGGAUGUUAAAGGUUGAACACCUGUUUGACCUUUCAUCCUGAAAAUGAAUCCAUCGGAUACAUUUCAUCAAUUGGUUUUGUUUCCUUUGCAUUAAUUUUCUUGAUUGAAAAGCAUUGGGGAUUUGCCAAUUAAACAUCAAACUCGUUGUCUGAAAUCAAGUAGGAUUACCCGCUGAACUUAAGCAUAUCAAUAAGCGGAGGA